rnacentral:rRNA from 1 species
UGGGGAAUAUUGCACAAUGGGCGCAAGCCUGAUGCAGCCAUGCCGCGUGUAUGAAGAAGGCCUUCGGGUUGUAAAGUACUUUCAGCGGGGAGGAAGGGAGUAAAGUUAAUACCUUUGCUCAUUGACGUUACCCGCAGAAGAAGCACCGGCUAACUCCGUGCCGGCAGCCGCGGUAAUACGGAGGGUGCAAGCGUUAAUCGGAAUUACUGGGCGUAAAGCGCACGCAGGCGGUCUGUCAAGUCGGAUGUGAAAUCCCCGGGCUCAACCUGGGAACUGCAUUCGAAACUGACAGGCUAGAGUCUUGUAGAGGGGGGUAGAAUUCCAGGUGUGGCGGUGAAAUGCGUAGAGAUCUGGAGGAAUACCGGUGGCGAAGGCGGCCCCCUGGACAAAGACUGACGCUCAGGUGCGAAAGCGUGGGGAGCAAACAGG